GUGCUCGCUUCGGCAGCACAUAUACUAAAAUUGGAACGAUACAGAGAUUAGCGUGGCCCCUGUGCAAGGAUGACAUGCAAAUUCAUGAAGCGUUCCAUAUUUAA